ACUUGUGAAAAUUUUAAUAUUUGCUUAUUUUGGGCUUAUUUGAAAUAUGCCGGGAAACUAAGGAUCUUGCUAUUGGCUUGCAUUUUUUCUGACCGCGGCCAGCGCAAUGUUUACUUCAAUA